UACGUAGGGGGCAAGCGUUAUCCGGAAUUACUGGGUGUAAAGGGUGAGUAGGCGGAAUAAUAAGUCAUAUGUGAAAGGUUACGGCUCAACCGUAAAAAUGCAUAAGAAACUAUUAAUCUAGAGUGCAGGAGAGGUAAGCGGAAUUCCUAGUGUAGCGGUGAAAUGCGUAGAUAUUAGGAGGAACACCAGUGGCGAAGGCGGCUUACUGGACUGAAACUGACGCUGAAUCACGAAAGCGUGGGGAGCAAACAGG
rnacentral:rRNA from 1 species